rnacentral:rRNA from 1 species
AUUGAACGCUGGCGGCAGGCCUAACACAUGCAAGUCGAGCGGAUGAGAGGAGCUUGCUUCUCGAUUCAGCGGCGGACGGGUGAGUAAUGCCUAGGAAUCUGCCUGGUAGUGGGGGACAACGUUUCGAAAGGAACGCUAAUACCGCAUACGUCCUACGGGAGAAAGCAGGGGACCUUCGGGCCUUGCGCUAUCAGAUGAGCCUAGGUCGGAUUAGCUAGUUGGUGAGGUAAUGGCUCACCAAGGCGACGAUCCGUAACUGGUCUGAGAGGAUGAUCAGUCACACUGGAACUGAGACACGGUCCAGACUCCUACGGGAGGCAGCAGUGGGGAAUAUUGGACAAUGGGCGAAAGCCUGAUCCAGCCAUGCCGCGUGUGUGAAGAAGGUCUUCGGAUUGUAAAGCACUUUAAGUUGGGAGGAGGGGUUGUAGAUUAAUACCCUGCAAUUUUGACGUUACCGACAGAAUAAGCACCGGCUAACUCUGUGCCAGCCGCCGCAGUAAAAC